rnacentral:rRNA from 1 species
GUGUCCUACGGGACGCAGCAGUGAGGAAUAUUGGUCAAUGGAAGAGAUCCUGAACCAGCCAAGCCGCGUGAGGGAAGACGGCCCUAUGGGUUGUACACCUCUUUUGUCGGGGAGCAAGACCCGCCUCGUGCAGGCGGAGCGAGAGUACCCGAAGAAAAAGCAUCGGCUAACUCCGUGCCAGCAGCCGCGGUAAUACGGUGGAUGCGAGCGUUAUCCGGAUUUAUUGGGUUUAAAGGGUG